AAUAUCAUCGCGUUCUAUUGGAGAAAGAAAAAAACUAACACACUUGUAUAGAAUGGGGCUGGUGCAUAUAUUCUCGAAGCCACUAACAUGCACAGAUGUAGCAUCGAGGUUAACAAUCCCAAGUGAAAGCUUAGAGCACUUUCCUAAGAUUUCUGAGGAGCAUCACUCAAUAAAUUUUACUGUCCUAGACUUUGAAGGGCAUCCAUGGCGUUUUUAUCUCUUUACCUGGAGAAGAGGUGCACACCCAAAACCUGUUCUUAAUGGAAGAGAUUGGCUUGCCUUUGUAAAGGCCAAAUGUCUAAAGGAAGGGGAUAUAAUAACUUUCUCAAAAGAAGCAGAUGAGGUCAAUGGAGUGAUAUUUAGAAUCCAAGCACGCAAAACAAAUAUGACGUUUCGUUGCCAAUAUUAUUAGGUUGAAUAAAAUUACGGCUAUAAUUUUUAAAUAAAAUUUUAUGUAUAAAUAAAAAUAUAUUAUCUUAUUUUUAAUAUAAUAAUAUAUUAUUAUUUAUAAAUAAAAUUAUAUAAAAAUUUUGAUAAAAAGUACUCUUAUUAGGUUUAUCUUCGUGUGGUUUUUAAUGCUUUUUGUUUUAUGGAUUCUGCAACACCGGACAUCCAAUUCUGGUUUGAAAACCGUUGUGUACACUCCUGUUUGUAGAUCCUUGGAAAUCUCUUGUUUCAGAUGUGGAUGUGAUGGUUUAAAAAUAAAAAAUUUGUAAGUUGCCAACAAAAUCAAUGAUAAGACGUCUCUUGGAUUCC